rnacentral:rRNA from 1 species
CUUGGUCAUUUAGAGGAAGUAAAAGUCGUAACAAGGUCUCCGUAGGUGAACCUGCGGAGGGAUCAUUACACAAAUAUGAAGGCGGGCUGGAACCUCUCGGGGUUACAGCCUUGCUGAAUUAUUCACCCUUGUCUUUUGCGUACUUCUUGUUUCCUUGGUGGGUUCGCCCACCACCAGGACCACACCAUAAACCUUUUUGUUAAUGCAAUCAGCGUCAGUAAAAAGUAAUAAUUAUUUUACAACUUUCAACAACGGAUCUCUUGGUUCUGGCAUCGAUGAAGAACGCAGCGAAAUGCGAUACGUAGUGUGAAUUGCAGAAUUCAGUGAAUCAUCGAAUCUUUGAACGCACAUUGCGCCCCCUGGUAUUCCGGGGGGCAUGCCUGUUCGAGCGUCAUUUCACCACUCAAGCCUCGCUUGGUAUUGGGCGACGCGGUCCGCCGCGCGCCUCAAAUCGACCGGCUGGGUCUUUCGUCCCCUCAGCGUUGUGGAAACUAUUCGCUAAAGGGUGCCGCGGGAGGCCACGCCGUAAAACAACCCCAUUUCUAAGGUUGACCUCGGAUCAGGUAGGGAUACCCGCUGAACUUAAGCAUAUCAAUAAGCGGAGGA